rnacentral:rRNA from 1 species
GACGAACGCUGGCGGCGUGCUUAACACAUGCAAGUCGAACGGUAAGGCCCUUCGGGGUACACGAGUGGCGAACGGGUGAGUACCACGUGGGUGAUCUGCCCUGCACUUCGGGAUAAGCCUGGGAAACUGGGCCUAAUACCGGAUAGGACCACUGCCUGCAUGGGAGGAGGUGGAAAGCUUUUGCGGUGUGGGAUGGGCCCGCGGCCUAUCGGCUUGUUGGUGGGGUGAUGGCCUACCAAGGCGACGACGGGUAGCCGGGCUGAGAGGGUGACCGGCCACACUGGGACUGAGAUACGGCCCAGACUCCUACGGGAGGCAGCAGUGGGGAAUAUUGCACAAUGGGCGCAAGCCUGAUGCAGCGACGCCGCGUGAGGGAUGACGGCCUUCGGGUUGUAAACCUCUUUCAGCACCGACGAAGCGCAAGUGACGGUAGGUGUAGAAGAAGGACCGGCCAACUACGUGCCAGCCGCCGCCGUAA